rnacentral:misc_RNA from 1 species
UGGUUGUCAGGCAGUGACUUGAAAAAGUUGGCCCUCUUUGGUUGUCCCUCGCUUACAAAAAAGAAUGUUUUCUCUGCUAAAAGAUUGCGCAAUUAUUUUGAAAUUAAAGAGGACACUGUAUGUGGUAAAUGUGUCUUGAAAGAUUCAUGUAAGUUCGUGAAUCAGAGUGUAUGGAAAGGUGAUUACAAGACUUUGAAUUUAGCUGUUGUAAUGCGGGUCAUCACUUUAUAUGCUUUGGAGGAAGUGCAUCCAGAGUUGCCAGUGCCAGAUGAGAUAAAGGCCUCUGUCAGCCGGUUGCUAAACGAAGUCGUAAAGUUGAGUGAAACUAUAUCAUGAGGCUACACGCAUAGACCCAGGUGUGACUGCUUUCAACUAAUCAUCAUUGUAAUUUCUCUUAUGAUGGCUACACAUUUGAUUUUGCUGCAAUCAUUUUUCCACCAUCAUUAUGUGUAUAAAUUAUUAAGCUAUUUUGGACUCGUUAAGCAUAUUUACAA